UACGUAGGGGGCAAGCGUUAUCCGGAUUUACUGGGUGUAAAGGGGGCGCAGACGGCGAUGCAAGCCAGGGGUGAAAGCCCGGGGCCCAACCCCGGGACUGCUCUUGGAACUGCGUGGCUGGAGUGCAGGGGGGGCAGGCGGAAUUCCUGGUGUAGCAGUGAAAUGCGUAGAUAUCAGGAGGAACACCGGUGGCGAAGGCGGCCUGCUGGACUGCAACUGACGUUGAGGCCCGAAAGCGUGGGGAGCAAACAGG
rnacentral:rRNA from 1 species